AGUGACAAUUUUAGGCUACCAAAUCAGCCUGCAGGGAGUAAGGAAGGACGACAAGAAGGUAGAUGCGGUCAGGUCAUGGCCAGUCCCAACCACCAUAAAGGGGUUACAACGGUUUUUGGGGUUUGCCAACUUCUAAUGCCGUUUCAUCAGGAAUUUCAGCUCCGUUGCCUCACCUCUCUCCUCAAGGGUGGCCCCCGUAGGUUGGUGUGGCCUAUGCCGUCAGAUCUCUACUGGACUCCCGACGUCGUGGGGUUCGGCUCCAGUACCUGGUGGACUGGGAGGGGUAUGAACCCAGAGGAGCGCCGUUGGGUUCCGGUGGAGGACAUUCUGGAUCCCAACAUCAUCCUUGAUUUCCACCUUCGCCUCCCGGACCGGGAUUCAUCAUUACGCACGCCUGGCAUCAGUCAUUACACGCACCUGCACGUCAUCAUGAGACACACCUGGACUCCAUUACCUCCCCUAUAUCUUUCCCCAGUCAGUAUUGUUCCUGUGUUUAUGUGUAGAUGCUACUGUUGUCUCGUUCCAUGUUUUAUUAAACGUUUCACCUGUACCUGC